rnacentral:lncRNA from 1 species
GUAUUGGGGACUUUUUAGAUAGCAUUGGAAAUGUAAAUGAGGAAAAUACCUAAUAAAAAAAUUUAAAAAAAAGAAAGAAACAAAAGAAAGUACCUCAGAUUAUAUUUAAUAAUAUACUUAAGACUCAAUAGUGUAGUCUCUUCCAUUAAACAGAGAAAGACCUGGACAGACAAAUGUGAUUUUUCAUUUUGUUAGACACAUUCCAAAUGGCAACAUAUUUUUUUUAUAUUUUCUGUCUACCAGAAACAUUAAAUAUUUUAUAAAUGUCCAUUUAAAAGUCAGAAAAUAGAAUGUUCCUAGUAAAUAACUAUGGAAAUUGUUAGGUUCUGAUUAUGCCCAAAUAAGGACCUGUUUAGUAUCCAUUUCCCUUUUCCUCCAUAGAAUAUAUACUGGAUAUGUAUUUGUCAUGCAACUCGUUUCCUACUUAUUCUUCUAAAUGGAUAAAAAUGAGACAGUCAUUUCCAUCUUCCUACAUGUGUGCCUCAGCCAUCAAGCUGCAUAAUUCAACAUUAAGAUCCCCCUAAAACUUGCAUUAUAGUCCCUGGAAUUACUUCCCUCCCUUUUGCAGUAAACUGUGGUGUUUACAAAGUGUUGAUACUAUGGAGAAAAGCAGUAUCAGUGGUCAUGAUUCCAACACAAAUGCUGUCCAUUAGUCAAGCAACAAGUUUGAAAGAAUGUUUUAGCAAUUGGGCACAGAGGACUGCUUUAAUUUUUCUUAAGAGAAUAAUAUAUUCUCUAUCUAAUGUUGACAAAAUUUCUUUAUUAUUCCAAUAAGAAUAUCUUUUGUAUCAGAUUUGAUAAAAGCACAUUUUUCUUUGAACCUAGAUAAAGCUCUCUCUCUCUCUCUCUCUCUCUCUCUCUCUCUCUCUCUCUCUCUGUGUGUGUGUGUGUGUGUCUGUCUAUCUGUCUGUCUGUCUGUGUCUGCCUUUCGCUUUCUCCCUGUCUCUUUCUUUCUCUGCGUCCCUCUGUCUACUUGUCUCUGUCUCCCUCUCUGUCUCUGUGUCUCUCUGUCUCUCUCUCCCUCCCUCUCUCCCUGUUCCUCCUUCUCCUCCCCCCUUGAUAGUUUUUUAAUAUAUUCCCAGCUGUGCUGGCACUUACUUUGUAUACCAGGCCAGUUUGGAAAUCAGAAACAUCCACCUGCUUCUUCUUCUGCCUCUGCCUCCUGGGAGUAAAACUGUGCCCCUAGGUCUGGCUGUAUGUGAUCAUU